AGCAAACUGGAUCCCAUCUUGUUUAGUUUUUUUAUGGUUAUUUUUUUUCCAGUAUCUUCCCAGGUAUUUGUAUUGGGCUGAUUGAUCUGUAGUUCCCUGGGUCUGUUUCCCCCCACCCUUUUUUUUGAAGACAGGAACUCUUCAAAUUCACCAAACUUGUAACUGUAAUUCACACACUUGCUUGUGUUUCUUCUAUACAGUUUCAGUUUAACCUACCAAAUGCUGCGUUUGCUUUUUGAGCAGGCCAGACUAAGAACAUCAGUCCCUACCAAUGGCCCAUCUCUCCUGCACUCAAAACAUUUUAUUUUUCCUCCCUCUGCAACCCUCAUCCCCUUUACAGGACCUCUUUACAGCACUGAAAACAGUGAAAACAGGAAAUGCCUGCAGACUAUUUUGGCCAGCGCAAUCACUUUCAUUUUUCGUUUUUAAACUGAAAAUUCAAUGUAAGAGUGUUUAGUUUAGUCCAAGAAGGAAACUGGAAAGAGAGUAACAAAGGAACUUUAGGCCCUGUGGCUUUCAGGGAUCACCCAGAAGUUGAUGGAUACCCACCUGUCUUCCUUGCUUUAAGAUGGUGGGGUUGGCAGCUCCAUUGCGCUGGCUGGCUCCUAGGAGGCCACUGGGACCCAAAAGCCCCAGCCGUGUAGUGGGGAGAUUUCGAGAGGGAAUUUGGAAUUGGCGUGGGUUUCUUCUGCCCAUUCCUGCACCUGCAGAUCCAGCUGUCGGACUACUGCUAUUUGUUCUACAUGGGGCUGCUCUUGAAGAUCACUUGGAUUACACAUCUGGUCCAGAAUGCAAUAUGUUGUUGGUGGACUCGAACUUCCAUCAGCCCCAGGCAAAAGGACCAAUGGUCAGGAAAGACAGGAUUGAAAUUCAACAACACCGAGUUCUACUCUUGAAUCACACUGCAUCACUAAAGAGCCACACCUCAGCUCUGUUUGAAAUAUUAUUUCUCUUUGAUAAAGCAACCCCAGACUGAACAACAAUAAAACCCAAAAAUCAAUACAGGAAA